rnacentral:misc_RNA from 1 species
CCGAGUUUACAACUCUCAAACCCCUGUGAACAUACCAAUCGUUGCCUCGGCGGAUAGCCCGGCGUUGCGGUAAAGCCCACCGGGAUCAGGCCCGCCAGAGGACCCACUAAACUCUUGAUUCUAUAUGUAAUCUUCUGAGUAAACAUAGUUAAAUAAAUUA